AGCUCUUGGACAACACUUCUCAUAAAUUAUGGAAUUAUUCAUGUAAAACUAUGCACCCUCUUUGCCUAUAAAUACUCCACUACCUCCAUUCAUCUUUCUCAAAUCUCCAACAUGUUCAUAUCAUCAAAGAAGAGAGCAAGUGAGAUUCAAAUAGUGAGUUCAAGGAACAAGAGGAUCAAGCUCUCUCACAUAUCACCCUUUAUUCCACUCUUCAUCAAAGGAAUUUUCGAGGAGUUUAAUUUAUUGAAGUGGAUCUUUGCUCAGAGACUUUUUUUGGAAGCAUCGAGGUUGAGCCGUGGAUGAAGUGGUGCUGAGUGAGAUUGGUGAUUUCCGUAUCUUUUUAGGACCCUCGAAGACAUAUGUCUCCAUACAUAUUGCCGCGUUCAAACCUUCUUCCACUGUGCAUUUUAUCUUUGUCUUGUGAUAGACUUAUUGGUGAGAAUUAUGAUAGGAAUGUGAAGUACUAGUUAAUGAAAUCUUUUUCGAGUCUG